rnacentral:tRNA from 2 species
GCCCUGGUAGUGUAGUUCGGCCUAGCAUGAAGCCCUGUCGAGGCUUCGACCCGGGUUCAAAUCCCGGCCAGGGCG